CAAAACAGCCAUAUCACCCUGCAACUCACAACUGGCAACCCACUGAAGCUCAGCAGGUAUGAGCCUGGUCAGUAUGUGGAUGGGAGACCUCCUGGGAAAGCUAAGGUUGCAGCUGG
rnacentral:rRNA from 1 species